rnacentral:rRNA from 1 species
AGCGAACGCUGGCGGUAGGCCUAACACAUGCAAGUCGAACGGCAGCACAGUAAGAGCUUGCUCUUACGGGUGGCGAGUGGCGGACGGGUGAGGAAUACAUCGGAAUCUACUUUUUCGUGGGGGAUAACGUAGGGAAACUUACGAUAAUACCGCAUACGACCUACGGGUGAAAGCAGGGGAACUUCGGACCUUGCGCGGAUGAAUGAGCCGCUGUCGGAUUAGCUAGUUGGCGGGGUAAAGGCCCACUAAGGCGACGAUCCGUAGCCGGUGUGAGAGGAUGGUCACCCACCUUGGAACGUAGACACGGUCCAGACGCCUGCGGGAGGCAGCAGUGUCGAAUAGUAGGCCAAGGGGGCAAACCUUAUCCAGCCGUACCGCGUCUGUUAAGAAGGCCCUCGGUUUGUAAAGCCCUUUUUUUGGGUAUGAAAAGCUUCAGGUUAAUACCCCGCUGUUCUGACGGUACCCAAUGAAUAAGCACCGGCUAACUUCGUG